rnacentral:rRNA from 1 species
GAUGAACGCUGGCGGCGUGCCUAGUACAUGCAAGUCGAGCGAACAGACGAGGAGCUUGCUCCACUGACGUUAGCGGCGGACGGGUGAGUAACACGUGGAUAACCUACCUAUAAGACUGGGAUAACUUCGGGAAACCGGAGCUAAUACCGGAUAAUAUAUUGAACCGCAUGGUUCAAUAGUGAAAGACGGUUUUGCUGUCACUUAUAGAUGGAUCCGCGCCGCAUUAGCUAGUUGGUAAGGUAACGGCUUACCAAGGCGACGAUGCGUAGCCGACCUGAGAGGGUGAUCGGCCACACUGGAACUGAGACACGGUCCAGACUCCUACGGGAGGCAGCAGUAGGGAAUCUUCCGCAAUGGGCGAAAGCCUGACGGAGCAACGCCGCGUGAGUGAUGAAGGUCUUCGGAUCGUAAAACUCUGUUAUUAGGGAAGAACAAAUGUGUAAGUAACUAUGCACGUCUUGACGGUACCUAAUCAGAAAGCCACGGCUAACUACGUG